rnacentral:lncRNA from 1 species
GGCAAAAAACCUUACAUUUUUAUCCGCGCCGCUUGACACAAAAAAGGACCCCAACCUGAUCUUCUUCUUCAUGAAAAAAGCCAACAAGAAAAAACCCAGAGCUCUAAGGAAGCUUAAGCCGCAGCAGCCAUGAAAAGAAGCUCCACCCUAACUCUACCGCCUCUGUCGUCUCCCUCAUCCCCAGCCUCAGAAAAUCAGUAGCCAUCAGACCUCACUGCCUGAAACCCGCCGGAAAACAACCCCUUCCUUUCCAGUUUCAGUCACACACAAACACAACUGAAAAAACGACCUUAAUCCCAAUCAAAAGCCCAGCGGAAACGCGCUUGAAUCACCUCUGAACUCCAGCCAUUAGAAGCAGCGAAACAAGCUGCAAAUAGCUCUCAAACCGUUCAAGUACGAGCAGCUUUUUGAUCGUGGUUUGAGUCGCUGAAGUUGGGUCCGAUUGCCGUCGAGUUCGAGUUAGACAGAGUUUCCGUUCGUUAGCUUCAGUUCCGGUUCUCUGUUUUGGGGUGGGUUCGAUCUCCUCUACUGGGAUUUUGGGAAUGAAAACGUGGAUCUAGUCCGGAAUAUUGUCGAUCUAGAGAUCACCGAAGCUGUUACGCAAAAGUUUUCUGCAAGGCAAGUCCAAGUUCCAUUUAUUCGACCACUUACACAUUUCCUCUAAAAUUGAUUUGCUUGGAUUUAGUUUACGCAUACCUGUUUAUAUAUGUCAACGCUUGUUUUCUAAUUCUACAUCUGAUUUUAACAUGCUACUGAGCCUGCAUGGCCAGUGAAAUUGAUUAUAGCAUCUUAUUGACAAUUUAUGUAUGAUAUUUAAACUUUUCUUAUUAUUCCAUAUGGUGAUUUACUCAUAGUUACAUUUAGAGGUCUCAUGUAUAUUAUGUCAGAAAUUAUCUGUGUGGAAAUUAAGUGUUUGACAAAUAUGGUUUCGAGAAGCUUAGCUGCCUUAGCAACCUGCGUUUAUAUCAGGCACAAGUAGGAUUUACAUUCCUUUUCUAUUUUCAAAGGCUCAAUCCUAAUAAUUAUCUAUGCUUAAAAAACAAUUAGGAAGCAAGUGAAUUUCUUGCGUACUGAUGCAUAUCUUUUGUUUUGCUUAAUUUGCUUGUAAAGAAAAAUGUUUAAAUUUUUGGUUGGUAAAAUUAUCCAUCAUAACAAGUUGCUUAUUUGAUUGAAAGGAGCAAGUGAGUGAUUUCCAUAUAAAUUAAGGUAUGCGUUCGUCCAACUUCGAACAAACUUCCUUAAUAAUAAAAUUAGUUUUCAUAGGUUACUAAUACUCCGGGGUGAGCCAUCCACGUUUUAAUCAUACAUGGCCCUCAUAUAAAUUUCGUAUAAUUUAGAUAUUAAAAAUGAAUCUCUAGUAGUUUGCUUUAGGAGCAUUAAUUAAAUAAACCGUCAUAGCUACGGUUACGGUUCCCAUGACGUAGUUGUGAUGCUUAAUUUCCAAAUUCGGGGUACAUUUGUGUGACCCGGCCACAAUUUAAUCUUUUUAAAUAAAAUGAGUACGUUGUGGAUCGUGGGUACGGCUCUCGUGACAUGAUUCGCAAUCGUGCAAUCAAUAAUUAGUUGUAUAACAAUUGGAUUAUUAAAAGCGAUUUUAAAAGGAAUAAAAUGCACAUAGGUUUUAAAUAUGUAAUUAAUCAGAUAACUAAGUCAAUUAAUAAUAGUUGAGCAACCGUGCUAAAAUUACGGAACCCGGGAAUGCCUAACACAUUCUCCCGGGUUAACAGAAUUCCUGACCCGGAUCUCUGUGUUUUGCGGACUGUAAAACAGAGUCAAAAUUCCUCGGUUUGGGAUUUUAAACCAUUGACUUGGGACACCAAUAAACUAUCCCAAGUGAUGACUCUGAAUUUUAAAUAAAAUAAUCCCGUUUCGAUUGUCACUUAAAUUGGAAAAAACUCCCUUAUAUACCCUUUCGGUGGUAAAAAAAGAGGUGUGACAGUGGAAACAAGAGGUAAAGCAGUAGUUGAGGCUUGAAUUCUCUUCGUGGCAUCGAGGUAAGUGAUUGGUCUAACCUUAGCUUGAGGGAUUAGGAGUUGUAUCUUAUUUGCUAUGUGUUAAUUGUGGAGUACGACGUAUAAGCAUGGUGACGAGUAUCUAUACGUCGGUGUCAAGCAUACCCGUGAGUCUCGUAUGGUAAUUGUUGUGACUUCAUUAUAAUUUGUUCAUGCUUAAUAUAAUGAUUAUCAUUGUUAGUUCCCUUACCGGGAUGUCAUUGUUAUGAUAUUGUUUCCCUUGCUGUGAUGUUAUUGUUUACGAUAUUGUCUCCCUUGCCGGGAUGUUAUUGUUAUACUCGUGUUCCUUGCCGGGAUUCUUUUAUGAUUGAUGUUGAUUUUUCAAAUGGGAUAGGGUUGCACGCCUACAACAAGAUAUAUGAAAUGGGAUCGGGUGGCACGCCGCCACGGUGAUAUAUGAAAUAGGAUCGGGUUGCACGCCUGCAACAAGAUAUAUGAAAUGGGAUCGGGUGGCACGCUGCCACGGUGAUAUAUGAAACGGGAUCGGAUUGCACGCCUACAACAGGAUAUAUGAAAUGGGAUCAAGUGACAUGCCGCCACGGUGAUACAUAAAAUGGGAUCGGGUUGCACGCCUACAACAAGAUAUAUGAAAUGGGAUCGGGUUGCACGCUGUAACAAGAUAUAUGAAAUGGGAUCGUGUGGCACGCCGCCAUGGUGAUAUAUGAAAUGGGAUCGGGUUGCACGCCUGCAAUGAGGAAGAAAUGAAAGUGAAUAUUGUGUUUGUUUUCCUUAUUCUUGUUGGCAUUUAAAUGUUGGUUUCUUUACAUUCCUCUUUUGGUAUUCUUUUGUUAGCUGAUAUUCCCCGCAACAUGUUUUCCCCUCCCAUCUUUAGCUGUAAUUAUCUGCUUUUAUCUUUCCAUUGUAUAUGAUUUAAUUGCACAUGUUUAUUUGGUAGUCUGGUCCUAGCCUCGUCACUACUUCACCGAUGUUAGGCUAGGUACUUACCAGCACAUGGGGUCGGUUGUGCUGAUACUAAACUCUAAAUUGUGUACAGAUCCCGGUGCUACAACUUUUGGACCGCAGUGAGGUUGCUGUCUUCAGUCCAAUAGGCGACCCGAAGUAGUCAUGUAGGCAUCCACAGGCCUUAGCGUCUCCCUCUAUCUUUCCAUUCUGUUUCUUUUAUGUAUUUUAGAGACAACUUUGUACUUAUCUUUUAAACCUCUGUUUGUAGUAUUCGUAGAUAGUCCGUGACUUUGUGACACCAAAUUUUGGGUAGUGUUAUAUAUCGGAUUCAUAUAACAAUGUUUGGUUAAACUAUUAAGUUUUCGUCUUUCGCA